UCCCUGAUGGUCCAGUGGUUAGGACUUAGCACUUUCACAGCUGGGUCCCUGGUUUAAUCCCUGGAUGGGGAA
rfam:TPA: Bos taurus chromosome 7, whole genome shotgun sequence.